GUAGGCCUAUGGCUUAUGAUAUUCCAGAGAGAAGAGCCAGCCUUUGAGGACUGAGAAGAGAAAAUAAUCAGCCAUUAAACUAUGAUGUGGGCCUUGAAAAGUGAUCAGAACAACCUUGACCAUGACCCAAAGGACAGAACAGAGUAAAAUACUACAUCAUCAAAGAAAUACCUGCAAUGGUUGGGUAACCCUAAGCCAAGAAGACAACUUCCGGGUUCCAAGUAAAGUCAGAAAUAAGCACACUGCUGAAGGUGCACUGAACUGGUCCUUUCAGAUGAAAAGUAUGUGAAAUGUAUGUGUUUCUAUGUAUAUUUUAA
rnacentral:lncRNA from 1 species